AAUCACGUGGGGUCACAUAGACUCCUCCAGGGGGUUUAUGGCUCUCUGUGGAUGGUAGCUGGUAAUACAGAAAACAGAAAUUGGAAGGAGUAUGUGAAUGAAAGUAAAUGCUGUGCUACAGGCUUUUGAGUGACCUAAAGGAACUGACUUUGGGUUAGAGGAAAUGCUGUGCAUAUAGUCCCUGAAAUAAUUUCAUGUACCCGAUGGGAUCAUAAGAGCUUGGUGUUUUUGUUUGGGGGCUUGCUUGUUUUCAUUAGGGAACAGAGAAUUUAUACCAGUCUUCCAUGAAAUAAGAGAGAUCUAUUUGAUUAGUAUUUCCAACAUAGCACUCCACAAUACCAACAUUUGUAAGAAGAGUUGAUGUUAUAAGUUUUGAAAUAACCUAGAAAAUAGGUUAAGGCAACUGGGUCAGUUUCAAUGUCAGGUCUGCUUUCAACGUAAGCAAAUUGGCUUGAUUUUGUUUAUUCAACAAAUAUCAAGUCUUGGGAUCUGUGCGAAGAACUUCAGGAAAGCAGCCACUCACAGCUGCAAACCCCUGCCAUCGCGGCAGGCAGCCCUCGACAAUGGAGGUGGGAAGGGGAACAGACCUGAGGAAGAGGAGGGUAGGGCGAGGGCUCAGCUGCAGGAAGGAGCAGCUGUUCUGUGUGCACUUCUGGGUUAGGAAGCUGGGCUCGCUGCAGAUCUCGGCCUGGUCAUGAACCCUGGACCUGAGCUGCGUUGCGUACAGGUUCAGUCUGACUCACACACUCACCUGCAUGGCGGAACAUAACUCUGCCUGGUGAAGGUUUUCAGAGAACAACGUCAUAAAGUCCUGCUGCCUCCUGCUCAGGGCUCAGGAGCAGUGCCUCAGCCAACGGUGAACAAGCCCCACAAGUCCCACUAGUCUGACUCUGGGGACCAUGUCGAGAAGCAGCCGCUAGAGGCUGCACUUGGUUUCAUUGUGGAAGAAGAAAAAUGGCCUGAGCAAAUCUGCAGCUGGCUUUCAUCAGCCCGGAACACCCUGUUCUUUCCUCUCAUCCUCCUGCCCCACUGGGCUCUCUGCACAGCCCUGCAGGAAAUCACAGGAUUCUGAAGCCCAGAGAACUGAUUCAGAGAGAGUGCGACUGAGCGAGACGGAGACAAAAUGGACUCAAAUGCUGUCCAAAUAUUCAGUGUUCAGUGAAGCAGCUUUUGUCACAGUGAGGUACCUGAGGCAGGACUGCUCCCCGGGACAGUGAGUGGUUUGACUCUGCAAGGGGAGCCGAGUGGAGAGAAAUCAGCCAAACAGAAAAAUGAAGCAGAAGUUUCUAGAGGCUGCCCCACCUAGAAGAGGAGGGUUCAGAGGUACCUGAACUCUUAAGGUCACUGGACAUUUUUAACUGGGUGAGGACUCAGACAGAUUGAUAACAAGGCAAGCAGGAGAAAGUGGCUCCUGAAGUGCUUCUUGAGAAAUGUGAGCCAACGCAUCACAAUCAGGCCCAUGCCUGAGAGAGGCUGGCAUUGCUGUAGGGAAGGGGUAUGACCCGCCGUUUGGGAGCACCUAUUCCCCGCCCCAGCUCGCUCGGUGUUUAGUACUUUCUAUGUUCCAUUGUUCAGUGACCUCACAGCCCAGUGGGGCAAAUAUAAAUAUCCCCAUUUUCCUAAUGUGGAAAGUGGGACUGGAAGAUGUUAAGUAACUUGCCAGGGUCAGCUUGGUAACAAAGUGAUAGAGCUACGAUACGUGUUCAUUUGAUUUGGUUUGUAAGUAGGUAAUAUAGUCAUAUGAUUCAAAAAUGAAAACUGUAGAAAGGGGGCCAGGUGUGGUGGC
rnacentral:lncRNA from 13 species